GGCCCUAUCGUCUAAGGGUUUAGGACGUGGCCCUCUCAAGGCCAAAAUACGGGUUCGAAUCCCGUUAGGGCUACGA
rnacentral:tRNA from 1 species